UUCUCUUUAGCUUUCAAAUUAUCCUCCUUCUUAUUUUUCUUCUGAACCCGAGAGUGGUAAACUGAGAGAGUUUUUGUACUGGAUUGGAGAGGCUUAGCACAAAUUGUAUUGAAGCUCUGAUAUUGAGCUUCAAUGACUUCUGGAUGGUGCGUGUAAUGAGGUUUUAGAAUAAGAAAGAAAUCAUAGAGUGCAAGGAUUUGAGAUUCGAUCCAAAAGGUGAUCAUAAUGGUGAUGGAGAAUGACAUAUAUAGGAGUUAGGAUUGGAAAUUGUUUAGCUUAGGAGUUAGUUAUUGUUAGGUUUGGGAUUUUCUUGGGAGUUAGUUGUGAUGAUCUCAGUGAGUUCAACCUAUUAACUUACUGAGUUGGUAGUUAGUUGGUUGGAUUAGUUAGUUAAUUGGUUAGGAUGAAUGAAUGUAGAGUUGGUUACAAGUUUAAGCUAGUUCUUUUGACUGGUUAAUGCAGGUUGGACUUUAAGUGGAAUUGGUCUUAAAGCUUGAGUGAGGACCUGCUGAAUAGGUUCCCUCUUUAAUACCAACUUGGUUAGUGAAUUAGAUUUUUGUGAAUGAGUUUGGGAUAUGCUAUAUGUGUUCACCCAACUAGGUUGAUUAAAUGAUGAUUAAUGAAUUGUUUGCUUCAUUGGCUGCUCAUAUGCAAUGUUGUUCUUUGAUGUUAGGUUGUGACUGUUGUGCACUGCUGGUUAGAGUAUAGUUCAGGGUGGUCCUUGUUUGGCAAUAAUGCAGAUAUGAAUCAUCGCUUUUGUUGGCAGGAUGUUAUGAUGUAUUGCAGGUCAUGUUAGAUGCAGGUAUGCAAAUGGUUUUGCCUUGGCCUGCCUAGGUCUGAAGGUUGCACAACUGGUUGGUUCCUUUUUGGGCAUUGGUUAGGUAAGGUUUUCUAUAAGUAAGGUGUUUUCCUUGUGAUGCUAAUGGUAUGUUGUGCUGCAUUCUUUGGUUAUGCUUGAAAUUGCUUGAUCCUGAAAUGGUGUGUUUGCUCUAAAUACUUGCCAUUUAUUGAUGCAGGUAUGAACUUGGUCAACUACUAUUAAAUUAGGCUGGUGUACACAUCUUUCUUGGCUUGGCAUGCUAGUUCUGCAAUUGGUUUUGCAGGAAGCUUAGUUCUAGAUGCACUAUUGCAGUGGUAUUUUUAUGUUUUUACCAUGGGCUCUGAUGUUCAGCUAUGAGGUUAGAGUGUGUAUUGGUUGACACUGAUUUGCACUACUACUACUGGUUGGAUACACUGUUGGAACAGGGCUGCAUAAUUAUGUGAAUGAUAUGUAGCCUUGAUGUUGCUAUGGUUGAAUUGAUGUUGCAACUAGAUUUAUGUGUGCCUAAGUUUGCUUUACAACAGGGCUUAUGGCUAGCUGGGUGCAGAAUUUGCAGGUCUGCAAGCUCAUUGUCUUGAUGCUGACUGCACGCUUGUACUUGGCACAAUAUUGUUAUAGUAUUGGUAAUGGUCUUAUGGUUCGUAGCAGUUUUGAUAUUGGUUACUGCACAAUUCUAGGCCAUCUGCUUGCGUUUCACCUUGACCUGGUUUAUCUUGCAGCAUGUUCUGGUUUGGGUGAAGCAAUAUAUGCAUUUGGCCUCGAAAGGUUGUAGGAUGCUACUUGCUUUUGGUUUGGCGUGCUUCAGGUUUGCAGGUAGGUUCACAUGCAUGAUGGUUGCAACUGGUAAGUUGAACUAUUUUUUCUAGUUUCAUUGUUCAGCAACAAGUUGUAUGAGUUGUGGCAAGGUUUUUCUUUAUUGGCUGGCAGUUUCAUAUGGCAUUGCUUCACAUGGUUCAUGGUUGUGUUUGGACUUGUAAAAUUGCCUUUGUUUGAAUGCUUGAAGAUAUCAUGGCUUAGGUUGGUUCGAAAUACCAUAGUAUAAUGCUUAGCCUCAAUGAUUAUAUGCAAUGGCCUAGGUUAUGUUUGAAAUGGUCAUGACUUGUUUUUUUGUAUGACUUGGUUGCUUUUGUAGGCAUGCAUGAACAUGAACAUGGUUGGCCAAAGAUAACUUACAUAUGAAGAAAUCAUGAUGGAAGCAAGCAAACAUGAACAAUGGAAUAAUGGAUUAGCGUUUAGGAUGAGAAUCUAGGGUUUGAAAGAUUAGGUUGACUUUGGUCAAAGUUGACCAAAAAGUCAAUUGUUGACCAAAAAGUCAAUUGUUGACCAAAGUCAACAUUUGGUCAUACUUUGUUUCUUCCCUAUUUUUCUCAUGUAAUGGACACUUGUAUGAUUAUAUAAUGAAUGUGAUUGA